GCAGCCCCUCCCUCCACCCUCCCCGCACCUCACACAUCAACUCCAUGGGCCCCACCUCACUGCCGGCGAUCGCAGCCCUCCUCCUCCUCCUCGCUGCGACGGCCUUCGCAGUUCCAGCAAGAACUGACGAAGAAGUCCGUGAACUCUACGAGAACUGGCUAAAAAAGCAUGGAAAAUCCAACAACUUGCUCGAAGCCAACGACGGCAGGUUCGAGAUCUUCAAGGACAACCUGAAGUUCAUCGACGAGCACAACGCCGGCGAUCACUCCUUCCGUCUCGGCCUCAACAGAUUUGCCGAUCUAACUAACGAGGAGUACAGGUCGACUUACCUCGGCGUCCGCGGCCCCAGACGGCGCCGGAGCUCCGGCGAGGGGAGCGAGCAGUACCUCCACCGCGUGGGGGAUGAGGUGCCGGACUCCAUUGACUGGAGGGAGAAGGGGGCGGUGCUUCCUAUCAAAGAUCAAGGCAGCUGCGGAAGUUGCUGGGCUUUCGCUACUAUCUCAUCAAUAGAGGGGAUCAACCAAAUCACCACUGGCGAUCUAAUAUCCCUGUCGGAGCAGGAGCUCGUCGACUGCGACACCUCCUACAACCAGGGCUGUAAUGGCGGUCUCAUGGAUUAUGCCUUCGAGUUCAUCGUCAACAACGGCGGGAUCGAUUCUGAGGCUGACUACCCCUAUAAGGGGGUUGACGGCCGCUGCGACAAAAUCAGAAAAAAUGCUCAUGUUGUCACAAUCGACUCGUACGAAGAUGUGCCGGUGAACGAUGAGAAGUCUCUGAAGAAAGCAGCUGCAAAUCAGCCGCUUGCCGUCGCAAUCGAAGGCGGGGGCAGAUCAUUCCAGCUCUAUGAUUCGGGAAUUUUCACGGGAAGAUGUGGAACCGACCUGGAUCAUGGUGUUACGAUCGUAGGCUAUGGCAGCGAGAAAGGCAAGGACUACUGGAUCGUGCGGAACUCAUGGGGCAAAUCUUGGGGAGAGGCUGGCUACAUCAGAAUGGCACGCAACAUCGCAGCACCUACAGGCAUAUGCGGAAUAGCAAUGGAGGCAUCCUACCCUCUAAAGACAGGCGCAAACCCACCCAACCCAGGCCCAUCCCCUCCUUCUCCCGUGACACCUCCGACAGUCUGCGACGAAUAUGCCACUUGCCCAGAAAGCACCACUUGCUGCUGCAUCUACGACUUCGGUAGCUACUGCUUCGGUUGGGGAUGCUGCCCUCUUGAAGCCGCCACAUGCUGCGAGGAUCACUACAGCUGCUGCCCACACGAAUACCCUAUCUGCAAUGUUCGGCAGGGAACAUGUCAAUUGAGCAAGAAUAACCCACUGGGAGUGAAGGCGAUGGUGCGCACGCCUGCGAAGCAACACUGGGCGUUUUCUGGUGGGAUUGGCAAGAAGAGCAGUGUAUGAGAAGCGAGGUGAUGGUGUGGGAGGUGGAGCGGGCUCGGGAUGGUUAUAACCCAUUAUUAGAUGUUCCGCUAUGAAUUUCAGUGGUAACUUGUUAUCAUUUGUUAUGCACAUAGCUUUAAUUUACUAUGACUGAAGAUUAAAGCACAUUGUAUUUGAAUUUGCUUUCGUAAUUAUGUUAUUGCAUCAUAAAUAAUGAUUUUAAAAG
rnacentral:misc_RNA from 1 species